ACUGAACACACGUCUAUCUUAAAUAUACCAACAUUUCAUUUGUAACUUAAUUAACUGGCAACAUUGAGAUUGAAUUAUUUCAGACUGCAGUCCAUGAGUUGAGCUUCACAGAAAUCAUUUGGAGGAAGAAGCUUCAUGAACAAUGUGAGCAAGCAGAAUUAACCAGGAGCCUGAUUGGUCUAUUGGGAUCAAUUGUGAUGUCAUCCAGGCCAAACCAAAUCCCUCCCUCCCUGGUCUCUCUCCCCCCUUGUGUGGAUUGACCAGACCUCGACAGGAGAAUCUGCAGAGUAUCGGCAGGCUUUUGAAGUGUGAGACAGACAAGACAGAGCAACUGGAGGGAAAGCAAGAAAAAAAGAAAAAAAAAACAGGAUCUGGGACUCCUCCCUGGCAGACGCUGGGUGGUCUACGGCUGUCCGUCCUGGACUGUCGCCUGCACCUCGGUCCUGUUUUUCAUCCGUUCCUUCGGAAUUUCUGUUUCCACGCGUGUCAGGGAGACAGACAUUCAGAAAGGACAUCAUCCACCCCCCCACCACACCCCAACC